rnacentral:miRNA from 15 species
CUUUCGGGCAAUAAUCAUUUCC